rnacentral:rRNA from 1 species
AGCAGCCGCGGUAAUUCCAGCUCCAAUAGCGUAUAUUAAAGUUGUGCAGUUAAAAAGCUCGUAGUUGAAUUUCGGGGUCAGUAGGUCGGUCGUGCCACUGGUAUGAACUGGUUUUACUGAUUCCUCCCUCUUGAAGAACUGUAAUGCCAUUAAUUUGGUGUGCAGGGAAUCAGGACUGUUACUUUGAAAAAAUUAGAGUGUUUAAAGCAGGCUUUAGCUUGAAUACAUUAGCAUGGAAUAAUGAAAUAGGACGUUUGAUCCUAUUUUGUUGGUUUCUAGGAUUGACGUAAUGAUUAAUAGGGAUAGUUGGGGGCAUUAGUAUUCAAUUGUCAGAGGUGUAAUUCUUGGAUUUAUUGAAGACUAACUACUGCGAAAGCAUUUGCCAAGGAUGUUUUCAUUAAUCAAGAACGAAAGUUAGGGGAUCGAAGACGAUCAGAUACCGUCGUAGUCUUAACCAUAAACUAUGCCGACUAGGGAUCGGAUGAUGUUAAUUUUUUAAUGACUCA